rnacentral:rRNA from 1 species
GGGGGAUAUUGCACAAUGGAGGAAACUCUGAUGCAGCAACGCCGCGUGAGGGAAGACGGUUUUCGGAUUGUAAACCUCUGUCCUCGGUGACGAUAAUGACGGUAGCCGAGGAGGAAGCUCCGGCUAACUACGUGCCAGCAGCCGCGGUAAUACGUAGGGAGCAAGCGUUGUCCGGAUUUACUGGGUGUAAAGGGUGCGUAGGCGGCUCUGCAAGUCAGGUGUGAAAACUAUGGGCUUAACUCAUAGAUUGCACUUGAAACUGUGGAGCUUGAGUGAAGUAGAGGCAGGCGGAAUUCCCGGUGUAGCGGUGAAAUGCGUAGAGAUCGGGAGGAACACCAGUGGCGAAGGCGGCCUGCUGGGCUUUAACUGACGCUGAGGCACGAAAGCAUGGGUAGCAAAC